GACGAACGCUGGCGGCGUGCCUAAUACAUGCAAGUAGAACGCACAGUUUAUACCGUAGCUUGCUACACCAUAAACUGUGAGUUGCGAACGGGUGAGUAACGCGUAGGUAACCUGCCUGGUAGCGGGGGAUAACUAUUGGAAACGAUAGCUAAUACCGCAUAAUAUUAAUUAUUGCAUGAUAAUUGAUUGAAAGAUGCAAUUGCAUCACUACCAGAUGGACCUGCGUUGUAUUAGCUAGUAGGUGAGGUAACGGCUCACCUAGGCGACGAUACAUAGCCGACCUGAGAGGGUGAUCGGCCACACUGGGACUGAGACACGGCCCAGACUCCUACGGGAGGCAGCAGUAGGGAAUCUUCGGCAAUGGACGAAAGUCUGACCGAGCAACGCCGCGUGAGCGAAGAAGGUUUUCGGAUCGUAAAGCUCUGUUGUAAGAGAAGAACGGGUGUGAGAGUGGAAAGUUCACACUGUGACGGUAUCUUACCAGAAAGGGACGGCUAACUACGUG
rnacentral:rRNA from 1 species